rnacentral:rRNA from 1 species
GAUGAACGCUGGCGGCGUGCCUAACACAUGCAAGUCGAACGAUGAAGCCCAGCUUGCUGGGUGGUUUAGUGGCGAACGGGUGAGUAACACGUGAGUAACUUGCCUUUAACUCUGGGUUAAGUCUGGGAAAGUGGGCCUAAUACCGGAUAGGAGCGAUCUCCGAAUGGAGGGUGCUGGAAAGAUUUAUCGGUUUUAGGUGGAUUCGCGGCCUAUCCGCUUGUUAGUGAGGAAAUGGUACACCAACGCGAUGCCGGGUAGCCGACCUGAGAGGGUGGCCGGGCACACUAGGACUGAGAGACGGACCAGACGCCUACGGGAGGCAGCAGUGGAGAGUAUUGCGCAGUGAGGGCGAGCGUGAUGCGGAGGCGCCGCGUGAGGGAUGACGGCCUUCGGGGUGUAAACCUCUUUCAGUAGAGAAGAAGCGAAAGUGACGGUACCUGCAGAAGAAGCACCGGCUAACUACGUG